rnacentral:lncRNA from 1 species
CCCCCACCCCAGCAGUUCUAGUUUAGCCAUUUUCUUCCAUAGAAGGUUUUUUGGCAGACAGUGUUCCACUGCUUUUGUUUAACACUUGAAAACCACUGGCCUAGAAUUUACAGGUUCUCCACAAGACCUGAGGAUCCCAAAGGAGUGAAUCGUAAACAGUGAAUGUCAAGCGCAAGAUGUUGCCUCCUGGCUCCCACCUUCAGCAGUUGGGACCGUAGCAGCGGGGGUUGGAGACAGCAGAAG